rnacentral:rRNA from 1 species
UACGAAGGGGGCUAGCGUUGCUCGGAAUCACUGGGCGUAAAGGGUGCGUAGGCGGGUUUUUAAGUCAGAGGUGAAAUCCUGGAGCUCAACUCCAGAACUGCCUUUGAUACUGAAAGUCUUGAGUAUGGGAGAGGUGAGUGGAACUGCGAGUGUAGAGGUGAAAUUCGUAGAUAUUCGCAAGAACACCAGUGGCGAAGGCGGCUCCCUGGCCCAUAACUGACGCUGAGGCACGAAAGCGUGGGGAGCAAACAGG